AGUGAACGCUGGCGGUAGGCCUAACACAUGCAAGUCGAGCGACCGCACAGUAAGAGCUCGCUUUUACGGGUGGCGAGUGACGGACGGGUGAGAAGUACAUAGGCAUCUACUUUUACGGGGGGGAUAUCGGGAGAAAGGUUCCGCUACUAGCGAAUACUUCCAACGGGUUAAAGCAAGAGUUAAUGGGAGUUUGGCCGAUACAUUUAGCCGGAGCCGGGUUGCAUUAGCUAGUUGGUAAGGGAACGGCCUACCAAGGCAACGAUGCAUAGCCGACCUGAGAGGGUGAUCAGCCACACUGGAACUGAGACACGGUCCAGACUCCUACGGGAGGCAGCAGUGGGGAAUAUUGGACAAUGGGCGCAAGCCUGACGCAGCCAUGCCGCGUGAGUGAUGAAGGUCUUCGGGUUGUAAAGCCCUUUUAUUGGGAAAGAAAAGCAGCAUGUGAAUAUCCCGCUGUUCUGACGGUACCCAAACAAUAAGCACCGGCUAACUUCGUG
rnacentral:rRNA from 1 species